rnacentral:rRNA from 1 species
UACGAAGGGUGCAAGCGUUAUUCGGAAUUAUUGGGUGUAAAGGGUGUGUAGACGGUAUGUUAAGUCUGUUGUUAAAUUUUCCGGCCUAACCGGAAAUCUGCGGCAGAAACUGGCAAACUAGAGGGUGGAAGAGAGAAGUGGAAUUCUCGGAGUAGCGGUAAAAUGCGUAGAUCUCGAGAGGAACACCAAUGGCGAAGGCAGCUUCUUGGUCCAUACCUGACGUUGAAACACGAAAGCGUGGGGAGCAAACAGG